ACUCCUACGGGAGGCAGCAGUGGGGAAUUUUGGACAAUGGGCGAAAGCCUGAUCCAGCAAUGCCGCGUGAGUGAAGAAGGCCUUCGGGUUGUAAAGCUCUUUUGUCAGGGAAGAAACGGUGAAAGCUAAUAUCUUUUGCUAAUGACGGUACCUGAAGAAUAAGCACCGGCUAACUACGUGCCAGCAGCCGCGGUAAUACGUAGGGUGCAAGCGUUAAUCGGAAUUACUGGGCGUAAAGCGUGCGCAGGCGGUUUUGUAAGUCUGAUGUGAAAUCCCCGGGCUCAACCUGGGAAUUGCAUUGGAGACUGCAAGGCUAGAAUCUGGCAGAGGGGGGUAGAAUUCCACGUGUAGCAGUGAAAUGCGUAGAUAUGUGGAGGAACACCGAUGGCGAAGGCAGCCCCCUGGGUCAAGAUUGACGCUCAUGCACGAAAGCGUGGGGAGCAAACAGGAUUAGAUACCCUGGUAGUCCCAUG
rnacentral:rRNA from 1 species